rnacentral:rRNA from 1 species
CGGCGGACGGGUGAGUAACGCGUGGGUAACCUGCCUCAUACAGGGGGAUAACAGUUGGAAACGGCUGCUAAUACCGCAUAAGCGCACAGUACCGCAUGGUACGGUGUGAAAAACUACCGGUGGUAUGAGAUGGACCCGCGUCUGAUUAGGUAGUUGGUGGGGUAACGGCCUACCAAGCCGACGAUCAGUAGCCGACCUGAGAGGGUGACCGGCCACAUUGGGACUGAGACACGGCCCAA